rnacentral:rRNA from 1 species
AACAGGAUUAGAUACCCUGGUAGUCCACGCCGUAAACGAUGUCGACUUGGAGGUUGUGCCCUUGAGGCGUGGCUUCCGGAGCUAACGCGUUAAGUCGACCGCCUGGGGAGUACGGCCGCAAGGUUAAAACUCAAAUGAAUUGACGGGGGCCCGCACAAGCGGUGGAGCAUGUGGUUUAAUUCGAUGCAACGCGAAGAACCUUACCUACUCUUGACAUCCAGAGAACUUUCCAGAGAUGGAUUGGUGCCUUCGGGAACUCUGAGACAGGUGCUGCAUGGCUGUCGUCAGCUCGUGUUGUGAAAUGUUGGGUUAAGUCCCGCAACGAGCGCAACCCUUAUCCUUUGUUGCCAGCGGUCCGGCCGGGAACUCAAAGGAGACUGCCAGUGAUAAACUGGAGGAAGGUGGGGAUGACGUCAAGUCAUCAUGGCCCUUACGAGUAGGGCUACACACGUGCUACAAUGGCAUAUACAAAGAGAAGCGACCUCGCGAGAGCAAGCGGACCUCAUAAAGUAUGUCGUAGUCCGGAUUGGAGUCUGCAACUCGACUCCAUGAAGUCGGAAUCGCUAGUAAUCGUGGAUCAGAAUGCCACGGUGAAUACGUUCCCGGGCCUUGUACACACCGCCCGUCACACCAUGGGAGUGGGUUGCAAAAGAAGUAGGUAGCUUAACCUUCGGGAGGGCGCUUACCACUUUGUGAUUCAUGACUGGGGUGAAGUCGUAACAAGGUAACC